GNGAUGCGCAGCUUACACAUGCAGUCGAACGGACCCUUCGGGGUUAGUGGCGGACGGGUGAGUAACACGUGGGAACGUGCCUUUAGGUUCGGAAUAGCUCCUGGAAACGGGUGGUAAUGCCGAAUGUGCCCUUCGGGGGAAAGAUUUAUCGCCUUUAGAGCGGCCCGCGUCUGAUUAGCUAGUUGGUGAGGUAAUGGCUCACCAAGGCGACGAUCAGUAGCUGGUCUGAGAGGAUGACCAGCCACAUUGGGACUGAGACACGGCCCAAACUCCUACGGGAGGCAGCAGUGGGGAAUCUUGCGCAAUGGGCGAAAGCCUGACGCAGCCAUGCCGCGUGAAUGAUGAAGGUCUUAGGAUUGUAAAAUUCUUUCACCGGGGACGAUAAUGACGGUACCCGGAGAAGAAGCCCCGGCUAACUUCGUGCCAGCAGCCGCGGUAAUACGAAGGGGGCUAGCGUUGCUCGGAAUUACUGGGCGUAAAGGGCGCGUAGGCGGACAUUUAAGUCAGGGGUGAAAUCCCAGAGCUCAACUCUGGAACUGCCUUUGAUACUGGAUGUCUUGAGUGUGAGAGAGGUAUGUGGAACUCCGAGUGUAGAGGUGAAAUUCGUAGAUAUUCGGAAGAACACCAGUGGCGAAGGCGACAUACUGGCUCAUUACUGACGCUGAGGCGCGAAAGCGUGGGGAGCAAACAGGAUUAGAUACCCUGGUAGUCCACGCCGUAAACGAUGAUUGCUAGUUGUCGGGCUGCAUGCAGUUCGGUGACGCAGCUAACGCAUUAAGCAAUCCGCCUGGGGAGUACGGUCGCAAAGAUUAAAAACUCAAAGGAAUUGACGGGGGCCCCGCACAACGGUGGAGCAUGUGGUUUAAUUCGAAGCAACGCGCAGAACCUUACCACCCUUUUGACAUGCCUGGACGGCCACGGAGACGUGGCUUUCCCUUCGGGGCAUGAGAGACACAGGGCUGCGUGGCUGGCGUCACUUCAGGUCUGACAUGUGGGUUU
rnacentral:rRNA from 1 species